rnacentral:lncRNA from 1 species
GCCCCAACCAAUAGUAUAUAAAACUUAUAUGUAAUGCUUUGCACCACAAAAACAGAAAAAAAUAAUCUGGGUUGUGUCAAUUUUUCCGUUCUAUCGUAAUGCCCCUUUAGAAAUGAAAAAAUGGUCGAAUUUUUCGUUUUCAUUCUCUAAGUUAUGUUUGCCUCAACAAAAUGUUAAAGAAUUACACAAUACGUAUUACCCCAAAACUCAGAUCAAGUUGGAAUAGCGGGUCAUCAUUCAUGUAUGUGUCCCGUGGACAAAACUUGAAGUGUGGCGAAGAAAAUGAACAUGAAGCAACG